AUUUAUAUAGUUUAUUUAAAACAUUUCAUUUUCAAUGAAAAAAUAAAAGAUCUUUUUAUAAAUA
rnacentral:tRNA from 1 species